AUCUUUAAUUUUUACCAUGGUCCUCUGAGGAAAACAAGCUCAGGGCUCCCACUGAUUGUACAUUAUGGUGAGACGUGGUCUUGUAACACAGUGGUUAAGAAUGUGACUUUGGAGCCAGCCUGCUAGGGGCUGAAUUCUGACUCAGCCAUUUACUAACUGUGUGACCUUAGGGAGGAGGACCUGGUUGAUAGAAGAAUUUAUCUCGUAGUCUUAACAUCCACUGUAAUUCCAAACUUUGAGGACGAUAGAGAUCAGUGGGCUUUGACUGCCCAGCAUGCAGUCUCCAUUCUUAGGUGGGUUCCCAAGCCUGUAAAAUGUAAGCCUUAUGCUGCUGAGGGCCAUCUUGCCACCCUGAGGGAAACGCUGCCUGAGAAUGAAACAAGCAUAAGUAAAAGCUGAGCUGUGAGAUGGAGCAAGAUGAAGGCCACAUGACAUCUUUGGAGCACCUGGAUCUAACUGUGCCUUAAGCUAGUCUAACCCUGAACAUUUCAUCAUUUCAUUGACAUGAGCCCAGGUUUUCUUUUUUUUUGGAUGGAGUCUUGCUCUGUCGCCCAGGCUGGAGUGCAGUAGCUCAAUCUCGGCUCACUGCAAGCUCCACCUCCCGGGUUCACGCCAUUCUCCUGCCUUAGCCUCCCAAGUAGCUGGGACAACAGGCGCCCACCACCACUCCCAGCUAAUUUUUUGUAUUUUUAGUAGAGACGGGGUUUUACCAUGUUAGCCGGGAUGGUCUUGAUCUCCUGACCUCAUGAUCCGCCCGCCUCGGCCUCCCAAAGUGCUGGGAUUACAGGUGUGAGCCACUGCACCCAGCCCUCAGGUUUUCCCUUUUUUUACCCCUCCUUUUGAAAAUUUGAUGUGGAAUUUUGCCACCUGCAGCCAGAAGAGUUUUAACUAAUCAGUGCCAUAAAUUUUAUAUAGUUCUCCUUGCAAAAUGUGGAUCAGCCUUUCUCAGCAAAUCCUUUGUCAUAAAGUGCUGAAUUGUAAGUUUGUCAUGAGAAUCACAUGAGAUCAUGCAUGUGAAGAACCUGGCAUUAUCCUCCUCAUAGAAAAAAACCAGUAAAUAUUAACUACAGGAAGCAAGGAAGGAGUGGGGUGAGGGGAAGAAGAAGGGGUACUGAUUUAAAAGAACCCUGGAGUCCUAAGGAUAAUCUAGGAACCCUCAGACCCAAUCCGAUACCCCUAUUCUAAAUGCUCCUAGUGCCCUGUACCUUCCCCUCAUAAGCCUUCAUUAUCAUUGUAAUGAUAUGUUUAUGUAAUAUUUUGAUUAAUGUCUCUCCUUCACUGACCUAGCAGUUCUAGCAGGGCAGUGAUUUUGCUGUGUUGCAUCCCCAGCACCUAGUCUGGUAUGUGGCAUUCAGCAUAUGUUUAUUGAAUGAAUGGCCAUGUGGUUAUUCAGAUCCUCCUUGAUUAUUGGGGUUAGGAUUGUGGCAGAAGUGGCAAAAUCAGGGAGAGUAGUCCCUGUCCCCUCUGUAUCUUAUACACUGCCCACACUCCCAACACACAUACACAUACAGAGAAUUUUGUCUCAAUUAGAUAAUUAACUUCUGCUUGGUUGUAAACCAAACCACUGGUUCUUAAACUUUCAUUGGAUCAUUUUAUUGAAGAAUUAAAUAGUGUGGUUCUGGCCUAAUGUCUGGAAAGCCUUGCAGAGGAGUGGAUUAGGUCUUUGUGAUAAACAGGCAGCCUUCCCUGCUCCUGUGUCUUUAUAAAAUCUAUUUAACUGGAGUAGUCCACCCUCCCUCAGGCUCUUACAGGAAUAUGUUGGAGGCUGUAGGAAGGUGGGAAACCGAGAGGGAAAGGACUGGGCCGCUGGAGACUUCACUCAUUCCCUAGCAAGAAACAAAAGCAGUAAAAGGUGGCCCGAGGACAACCUGAAGCUCACUCCUUCAGCACUUUUGGCUGGAGGUCACUUGUUGGAGCCCCACUCAGAGCUCAGCACACCACCCCACCAGCAGCCUCCUCCUCCCAGCUGAGGCUGCAUUUCAUCCCUUCCCCCAGCCUGCUUUCCCUGAGAUAGGGGAGUGUUUCCCAGGGCCCAUGUGACUUCCACUGGCAAGUGACGAUUACCAAUGGUUUACUAGUCAGUGAAACUACCAAAGGCUUUUGUGCUGUAGUAAUCCUUUUCCUGUUUAAAACUCUGGGGAUUUUCUAAUGUUGCCAAUAGUUUUUCAAGUCAGCAAUUACUGUGUGGAUUAUGUAAUGGCUCGGUAUUAAAAAUAGAAAAGA
rnacentral:lncRNA from 1 species